ACGACUGCUAAGACUGGAUAGGAGACAAGAAGGCAUCUUCUUGUUUUUAAAAGACCUAGCAAUAGGUAUGCUUAGGUAGGAGCUUGCGUCACAUUAGUUAGUUGGUGGGGUAAAGGCCUACCAAGACUAUGAUGUGUAGCCGGGCUGAGAGGUUGAACGGCCACAUUGGGACUGAGACACGGCCCAAACUCCUACGGGAGGCAGCAGUAGGGAAUUUUCGGCAAUGGAGGAAACUCUGACCGAGCAACGCCGCGUGAACGAUGAAGUAUUUCGGUACGUAAAGUUCUUUUAUUAGGGAAGAAUAAAUGAUGGAAAAAUCAUUCUGACGGUACCUAAUGAAUAAGCCCCGGCUAACUAUGUGCCAGCAGCCGCGGUAAUACAUAGGGGGCAAGCGUUAUCCGGAAUUAUUGGGCGUAAAGGGUGCGUAGGCGGUUAAAUAAGUUUGUGGUCUAAGUGCAAUGCUCAACAUUGUGAUGCUAUAAAAACUGUUUAGCUAGAGUAAGAUAGAGGCAAGUGGAACUCCAUGUGUAGUGGUAAAAUGCGUAAAUAUAUGGAGGAACACCAGUAGCGAAGGCGGCUUGCUGGGUCUUUACUGACGUUGAGGCACGAAAGCGUGGGGAGCAAACAGGAUUAGAUACCCUGGUAGUCCACGCCGUAAACGAUGAGUACUAAACGUUGGGUAAAACCAGUGUUGAAGUUAACACAUUAAGUACUCCGCCUGAGUAGUACGUACGCAAGUAUGAAACUUAAAGGAAUUGACGGGACUCCGCACAAGCGGUGGAUCAUGUUGUUUAAUUCGAAGGUACCCGAAAAACCUCACCAGGUCUUGACAUGCUUCUGCAAAGCUGUAGAAACACAGUGGAGGUUAUCAGUUGCACAGGUGGUGCAUGGUUGUCGUCAGCUCGUGUCGUGAGAUGUUGGGUUAAGUCCCGCAACGAGCGCAACCCUUAUUGUUAGUUACCAGCACGUAAUGGUGGGGACUUUAGCAAGACUGCCAGUGAUAAAUUGGAGGAAGGUGGGGACGACGUCAAAUCAUCAUGCCCCUUAUGACCUGGGCUACAAACGUGAUACAAUGGCUGUUACAAAGGGUAGCUGAAGCGCAAGUUUUUGGCGAAUCUCAAAAAAACAGUCUCAGUUCGGAUUGAAGUCUGCAACUCGACUUCAUGAAGUUGGAAUCGCUAGUAAUCGCGAAUCAGCAUGUCGCGGUGAAUACGUUCUCGGGGUUUGUACACACCGCCCGUCA
rnacentral:rRNA from 1 species